rnacentral:rRNA from 1 species
UUAAAAUUGUUGCAGUUAAAACGCUCGUAGUUGAAUUUCAAGGAAUCAAUAUUUUAAGUAAUGCUUUGUAUAUUUAUAACAAAGUUGUACGUUAAGAAUAAACGCCAAGCGUUAUAUUUUUUCUGUUACAUUUUGUUUUAUUAAUAUAUAUAUGCGUUCUUAUUAUAAAAAUGAUUCUUUUUAAAAUUCUUUUGUAUAAUUUUUUAUGCAUGGGAAUUUUGUUACUUUGAGUAAAUUAGAGUGUUCAAAGCAAACAGUUAAAACAGUUUCUGUGUUUGAAUACUACAGCAUGGAAUAACAAAAUUGAACAAGUCAGAAUUUUGUUCUUUUUUCUUAUUUUGGCUUAGUUACGAUUAAUAGGAGUAGCUUGGGGGCAUUUGUAUUCAGAUGUCAGAGGUGAAAUUCUUAGAUUUUCUGGAGACAAGCAACUGCGAAAGCAUUUGCCUAAAAUACUUCCAUUAAUCAAGAACGAAAGUUAAGGGAGUGAAGACGAUCAGAUACCGUCGUAAUCUUAACCAUAAACUAUGCCGACUAGGUGUUGGAUGAUAGAGUAAAAAAUAAAAGAGACAUUCAUAUAUAUGAGUGUUUCUUUUAGAUAGCUUCCUUCAGUACCUUAUGAGAAAUCAAAGUCUUUGGGUUCUGGGGCGAGUAUUCGCGCAAGCGAGAAAGUUAAAAGAAUUGACGGAAGGGCACCACCAGGCGUGGAGCUUGCGGCUUAAUUUGACUCAACACGGGGAAACUCACUAGUUUAAGACAAGAGUAGGAUUGACAGAUUAAUAGCUCUUUCUUGAUUUCUUGGAUGGUGAUGCAUGGCCGUUUUUAGUUCGUGAAUAUGAUUUGUCUGGUUAAUUCCGAUAACGAACGAGAUCUUAACCUGCUAAUUAGCGGUAAAUACACUAUAUUCUUAAGUGAAAUUAGAAUAUAGAUAAAUUGUGCUAAUUUUGAUUAAAAUAUUAGAAUGUUUUUUUUGAUAAAAACGUUCUUUUCCCUUUUUUUCUUAAUUAUGCAUAUUUAUUUUUUUUCUUCUUUUGCAUAAGAAUGUAUUUGCUUAAUUGUAAAGCUUCUUAGAGGAACGAUGUGUGUCUAACACAAGGAAGUUUAAGGCAACAACAAG